rnacentral:rRNA from 1 species
UGCCAGCAGCCGCGGUAAUACAUAGGGACCUAGCGUAGUUCGGAUUUACUGGGCUUAAAGAGUUCGUAGGUGGUUAGAAAAGUUAGUGGUGAAAUCCCAGAGCUUAACUCUGGAACUGCCAUUAAAACUUUUUAGCUAGAGUAUGAUAGAGGAAAGCAGAAUUUCUAGUGUAGAGGUGAAAUUCGUAGAUAUUAGAAAGAAUACCAAUUGCGAAGGCAGCUUUCUGGGUCAUUACUGACACUGAGGAACGAAAGCAUGGGUAGCGAAGAGGAUUAGAUA